AGGAAAGCUCUAUUUGUCAGUGGCUGGGUGGAGGGCAGGAGGACACCCGGGGCCUGACCUGAGCACAGCAGGACCUUGCUAUCCCACCAGACCGGAGUACACAGGCCGCAUGUGAAGGAAGAGGCUGAUCUUUGGGCUUUCCAAAAGCUGCAGUUCUGGGACCUGGGGGAAAAUUGGAGUGCCUGGCUUCCAAGCAGGCAUAAUGGCUCUCUGCAAGACCAAGUAUGUACAAACAUCCCUUGAGCAGCCCUGCAAGCCUGAUGCUUCACCAAUGGGCGCCCGGGCUUCAUAACUGCUGAAAAUCAUGGUGUUGAUUAUCAGCACAGUGACGGUGCCAGGUGCUGCGGAAUCAGCUUGGAUUUUGAUUUUGCUUCCUUUAUGUGAAGCCAGGAGGGAGCUUAGCGCCCAGCACUCCGUGCCCCACCCCCACCACAUCGCAGCCUCCCACAGUCACCAGGAAAAGCGGGGGCUUUCAGCGGCAGCCAGAAGGAAUUCAGAAACAUCACAUUUCAUUUCGGGAAGAAUUGGAUCAGCACCAGUUUGGUGUUGAGGGCAUGAGAUUGUGGCAUUUUUAUCCCAAAUUUAUCCUCCCUUGGUCUCUCUCAGUGUGUGUGUCUGUAGGAAGUCAUCGUGUAGCAUUAUGCUAUGAAGAAAGCAUCCCACACUUAUUCAAUUGCAUCGUCCCACAUUCUGGAUCGGGAGACACAGACUCAAGUCAACCUGCAGCUGCCUAAUUUUGCAGGGAAGCAGCUAUCCUGAUGUUUGCAGGUUGGAGGCCUCCAAGUGACACACAUCAGGAAGAAAUGGGCUCUCCAAUCCCAGAUGAGCUGAAACACAAAUAUUUUCUGAGGGAACAGUCAGGAGUCCUAUCUUUCUGAGCCCUUUUCGAUGCAAGCAACCAUUGAUGAAGAAGCAUUUAUGCUUGAUACCUAUGGCAGGUGUUCUUCGGUGUGGAGAUGUUGUCAAUGAAAGAUUCAAAAGUGGUUCAAUUAUCAGAAGACCCUAUUUGUUUGCUUUUGCCCAGCUUUUGUUUGCUGUGUCACUCAGGGAGAAUAUAAACAACUUUGGCGAGGUAAGAUGGAAAAACAUUAGCCGGUACGGAAAUGUUCGACGGACAAAUGAGAGGACUUGGCAGAAGUUUGGCUUAGAAGAUGAAUGAUAGAGCCCCGGACAGAAUGCAAUAGUGGCAAUAGGCAUGCAUUCUUUGCAGAUGUGCACCGAAGGCUACAGGCUACUGUGUCUUUUUCUUCUGGCUUCUCUCUUGAGCUUCUGACACUGCACAGAAAGUGGGUCGGUCCUCUGACAGGCUUGAAAAAUGCAAAAGUUUACCACCAACUGGUGGGAAUACAUGCAACACAUGCAUAAAACAGAGAGCAUCAGUGGUGAAAUGCAGCCUGCAGUUUCUCUCCGAUAGUUAUCCAGAUAGUUCAUCUCAAAAUAAUGAUUUUGCCAUAAACAUACAGAUAUUGCAGGCAAAAGCCAUCACAAUUCAAAAGCCGUAACAAGAAUGGCUUAUUCUUUUAAGGGUUCCUUGUUAACUACAGAAAAUGAUCCACAUGUCCCAUUGAGGUGCUCUAAGAUCUGGGACUGGCUUCUACGUUUAUCUUUUUUGCCGAACAAUUCAGACUCCAGAGGGGAUUUUUCUUUUUGGUCUGAAGGGUGAAGCUUGUCUGGUCGGCAGCUUUUGCAAACUACAGCCGCUCAGUUGAGCUCAUUCCUCUGAGGUCUCUGUGCUGCCCCAAAAUGGCUCUUCUGGGCCUGAUGGAAAAUCUGAGCCAAGCGCUUUAAGUAGACACAAUGCCCCAGAGAGACAUCCGAUCCUCAGGGCGGGUGCACCAGCCACCUGGGCCCCUUACUCUGCCUGUGGUCCCACUCCUGGCCUUUGCUCUGGGAUUCCUGCUCUCUGGGAUGCCUGGACUUGUCUCCCUCUGUCCCCGGGAUAGGAAGCGUCGUCUUUGCCGAGGGCCCAGGGCUGCUCUUUGUGUUUUCAGGGGUUCAAGUCUCCUCUCUACUGCUUCCCUGUAGUAUGAUCUUAGGCAAAUUAUUUAACCCCCCCGUACCUCAGUUUACCCACCUGUAAAAAUGGGCUAAUAGUAUCCAACCUCAGGGAGCUGUUGGGAGGCUUAAGUGGGUUAAUUUAUGCAAAGGACUUAGAACCCUGCCUGGUGCAUAGUAGCAAUUAUUAUCUCCCCUGUUAGUCUUUAAACUCCUUCAAGCCUCCAGCAUUGCUUUAUUUAUUGCAGCAAAAGUUCCAGGAGUAAAUAAUCCCCAGACUGUCUCCCCUCUGUUGGGCAUGGCACAGGGCAGGUGUAGACUUGGCUUGCAAACCUUCCUUCUAUUGAUGUGGGCUCAAUACCCUUGGCUUUCCAACCAAGUCAGAGUGCCAGUCCCUGGAAAGAUUUCCCAUGACAAAUGGCAGCAGGACAAAGGCUGAAUUCGAUAAGACCCUUCUUUCACCUUGUUGGUGCUGCAGGGAGAGGGAGGAGGGGCAAAGACCAGAGGCCGUUAGAGCCCAGGGGGACUUAGAGCUGCCUCACGCCCACCGACCCUCCAACUCCCUCACUCCGCGGUGGGAAAUGGGGCUCAGAGACAUACAGUGACUCACUCAGGGUCACACAGCAAGGGCUGGGUCUAGAACUCUGUCUUUCACCUCUUGCCUGUUUGUUUCUUCUGGGAACCACCAUCACAUUCAGAUGGCAAGGACAUAAGGAACGCGGCAUUCAACACAGCCUUAACUUACUCAAAUGUUUCCUUUCAUGAACUUCAGGCUUAAAAUAACCCAGACGGGGUUUAACGUACCGCUGCAAUGUAAAGAGACACUGACUACCCCUCUCUCCCAAAUGUGCGUGGGUGUGUGUCUUAUACACACAAGGACCGUUUGGACACAUCUAAGGGUUGUGAUACAGCCGGGCAAUACCAGAGGGGCAGAGCGACAGCCACGCGCGCAAGGCACUGAACGCCUGGACCCCAACAACCCUCUGCACCCGCAGCCCCAGGCCCUCAUCCUUGCUCCCUGGCUGCCCCGUAGCCCACCCGCCCUGGAGCUGCCUAACCCUCGAUUAGCGACUGGAAGGUUUCCUAACAAGCCCAAGCUUGAUGGGAGCCUCUUGUUGGGUGAAAUUUAUGACCGGGCACUUCCUCCGAGAGACUUCCCACGUUGAAUUGUUGAACGCUUCUGACCUUACCGCCCCAAACAAGGGAAGGGUGGUGAGGGGAGGCGGGGCCGGCGGAGGCUGCGGGGAGAGGGAGGCGCGGCUCAGCCAGAUGUCCCGGAGCGGGAGGUGCAGAAGCCGGGAGCGAGGACCUGCGGGCGCCGGAGCGCAGGGACCGGGUCGCCGAGGGCGCACGGCUGUCUGCUGCGGAGGGCGCCACCCAAGUCACCACUGGCGGCAGAUGGACCCAAGCCUGGAGUUGGGGUGGUGGGGUGAGAAUCCGCCCGGGCCCAGCUUGUCCUAUCAGAAACGCCCUCCGAGGAAGGAAAGAAUUGCUGAACCUGA